AUUGAACGCUGGCGGCAUGCUUUACACAUGCAAGUCGAACGGUAACAGGCCUUCGGGUGCUGACGAGUGGCGAACGGGUGAGUAAUGUAUCGGAACGUGCCCAGAGGUGGGGGAUAACGCAGCGAAAGCUGUGCUAAUACCGCAUGUGAUCUGAGGAUGAAAGCGGGGGACCAAGCAGCAAUGUUUGGCCUCGCGCCUCUGGAGCGGCCGAUGUCAGAUUAGGUAGUUGGUGGGGUAAAGGCCUACCAAGCCGACGAUCUGUAGCUGGUCUGAGAGGACGACCAGCCACACUGGGACUGAGACACGGCCCAGACUCCUACGGGAGGCAGCAGUGGGGAAUUUUGGACAAUGGGCGCAAGCCUGAUCCAGCAAUGCCGCGUGCGGGAAGAAGGCCUUCGGGUUGUAAACCGCUUUUGUACGGAACGAAAAGGCUCUGGCUAAUACCUGGGGCUGAUGACGGUACCGUAAGAAUAAGCACCGGCUAACUACGUG
rnacentral:rRNA from 1 species